rnacentral:rRNA from 1 species
AUGAACGCUGGCGGCGUGCUUCACCCAUGCCGGUCGAACGGGAAACCUUUUAUUGAAGCUUCGGCAGAUUUAGCUGGUUUCUAGUGGCGGACGGGUGAGUAACGCGUGGGUAACCUGCCUUAUACAGGGGGAUAACAGUCAGAAAUGGCUGCUAAUACCGCAUAAGCGCACAGAGCUGCAUGGCUCAGUGUGAAAAACUCCGGUGGUAUAAGAUGGACCCGCGUUGGAUUAGCUGGUUGGUGGGGUAACGGCCCACCAAGGCGACGAUCCAUAGCCGGCCUGAGAGGGUGAACGGCCACAUUGGGACUGAGACACGGCCCAGACUCCUACGGGAGGCAGCAGUGGGGAAUAUUGCACAAUGGGGGAAACCCUGAUGCAGCGACGCCGCGUGAAGGAAGAAGUAUCUCGGUAUGUAAACUUCUAUCAGCAGGGAAGAUAAUGACGGUACCUGACGAAGAAGCCCCGGCUAACUACGUG